CGCGGCCUAUCAGCUUGUUGGUGGGGUAAUGGCCUACCAAGGCGUCGACGGGUAGCCGGCCUGAGAGGGCGACCGGCCACACUGGGACUGAGAUACGGCCCAGACUCCUACGGGAGGCAGCAGUGGGGAAUAUUGCACAAUGGGCGGAAGCCUGAUGCAGCAACGCCGCGUGCGGGAUGAAGGCCUUCGGGUUGUAAACCGCUUUCAGUAGGGACGAAUGUGACGGUACCUACAGAAGAAGCACCGGCUAACUACGUGCCAGCAGCCGCGGUGAUACGUAGGGUGCGAGCGUUGUCCGGAUUUAUUGGGCGUAAAGAGCUCGUAGGCGGUUUGUUGCGUCGGAAGUGAAAACACGGGGCUUAACUUCGUGCUUGCUUUCGAUACGGGCAGACUUGAGGAAGGUAGGGGAGAACGGAAUUCCUGGUGGAGCGGUGGAAUGCGCAGAUAUCAGGAGGAACACCGGUGGCGAAGGCGGUUCUCUGGACCUUUCCUGACGCUGAGGAGCGAAAGCGUGGGGAGCAAACAGGCUUAGAUACCCUGGUAGUCCACGCCGUAAACGGUGGGCACUAGGUGUGGGGGACAUUCCACGUUCUCCGUGCCGUAGCUAACGCAUUAAGUGCCCCGCCUGGGGAGUACGGAC
rnacentral:rRNA from 1 species